rnacentral:rRNA from 1 species
UCGAGAAGCUUCGGCAAUGGGCGAAAGCCUGACCGAGCGACGCCGCGUGAGCGAUGAAGGCCCUAGUGGUUGUAAAGCUCUGUCAGUAGGGAAUAAAGCUACAUAGCGAAUAACUAUGUGGUCUGAAGGUACCUACAGAGGAAGCUCCGGCUAACUCCGUGCCAGCAGCCGCGGUAAUACGGAGGGAGCGAACGUUGUUCGGAUUCACUGGGUGUAAAGGGUGCGUAGGCGGCCUUGUCCGUCAGAGGUGAAAUCUACCGGCUCACCCGGUUAGACUGCCUCUGAAACUGCAAGGCUUGAGUCCGUCAGGGGAUGGUGGAAUUCCUGGUGUAACGGUGAAAUGUGCAGAUAUCAGGAAGAACACCGGUGGCGAAGGCGGCCAUCUGGGACGGUACUGACGCUGAGGCACGAAAGCUAGGGUAUCGAACGGGAUUAGAUACCCGCGUAGUCC